rnacentral:rRNA from 1 species
GGGGUAAUUUAUUACCUGCUGACGAGCGGCGGACGGCUGAGUAACGCGUGGGAACGUACCCCAAAGUGAGGAAUAACUGCCCGAAAGGGUGGCUAAUGCCGCAUAUGGUCUUCGGAUUAAAGGAUUUAUCCGCUUUGGGAACGGCCUGCGUAUGAUUAGAUAGUUGGUGAGGUAAUGGCUCACCAAGUCUACGAUCAUUAAUUGGUCUGAGAGGAUGACCAGUCAGACUGGAACUGAGACACGGUCCAGACUCCUACGGGAGGCAGCAGUGAGGAAUCUUCCACAAUGGGCGAAAGCCUGAUGGAGCGACGCCGCGUGCAGGAUGAAGGCCUUCGGGUUGUAAACUGCUUUUAAAAGUGAAGAAUUUGACGGUAGCUUUUGAAUAAGCACCGGCUAACUACGUGCCAGCAGCCGCGGUCAUACGUAGGGUGCAAGCAUUAUCCGGAGUGACUGGGCGUAAAGAGUUGCGUAGGUGGUCUGUUAAGUGAAUGGUGAAAUCUGGUGGCUCAACCAUCAGACUAUUAUUCAAACUGGCAGACUCGAGAAUAGCAGAGGUAACUGGAAUUUCUAGUGUAGGAGUGAAAUCCGUAGAUAUUAGAAGGAACACCAAUGGCGUAGGCAGGUUACUGGGCUAUUUCUGACACUGAGGCACGAAAGCGUGGGGAGCGAACCGGAUUAGAUACCCGGGUAGUCCACGCCGUANACGAUGGAUACUAGCUGUUGGAGGUAUCGACCCCUUNAGUAGCGAAGCUAACGCGUUAAGUAUCCCGCCUGUGGAAUACGGUCGNCAGACUAAAACAUAAAGGAAUUGACGG